rnacentral:lncRNA from 1 species
CUGUUAUCUUUUAUUCUCUUUUUUGUUUUGUAGAUCAGUUUCUUUACAGGUCGAGUGGGAGAGGACGAAUUACCUCCGUUGUGGGAUCCAGUUAAGACACCAGUUCAUCAUCUAGAUAAGCGACAUAAGCAACAACGUCAAAAAAAUCAAGUCAAAAAUUCAGGUUUGAUGCAUCCAACCUUUACCCUUGUCAUUGAUUUAUGUGUGUUGCCAUAUAUGAUAUGCAUUACAAUGAUGAAUUUAUAGUCCUUGAUUUAAACAUAUUUCUCUGCAUAAUGCCAUAUAUGACAUGCAUUACAUUGCUGAAAAAUUGACAUCCUGUUGAUUACAUUUUUUUAUUUGAUGGUUAUUUAGUGGUAAUAUGAAUUCGACAAGUGUGGAUGGAAAAAGGAUGAGGGAGGAGGAAGAUGAUGAUAUUAUGCUUUUCUUGUUGCCUGCAUUGCACCUCUUGGGUCCUAGUGUACCCAAA